rnacentral:rRNA from 1 species
GACAGAGGCCUCAAGCGUUAGGCGGAAUCACUGGGCUUAAAGCGUGUGUAGGCGGAUCGUUAAGUGUCUUGUGAAAUCCCACGGCUCACCCGUGGAACUGCUGGGCAUACUGGCGAUCUUGGGCCAACUAGGGGCAGCCGGAACAAGCGGUGGAGCGGUGAAAUGCGUAGAUAUCGCUUGGAACGCCAAAGGUGAAAACAGGCUGCUGGGGUUGUGCCGACGCUGAGACACGAAAGCCAGGGGAGCAAACGGG